AUGAAAGUGAUAAAGAUUAUUUGCAGAUGUCCUGGUAGAAUAAGUUGUUUUCCUUUAUACAUAUGUUUUUCAGGUUCAUGUCCCAAGAUCAUGGUGAACCUAAUGGUUAUUAGCAGGAGACAUUUCUGGUAUCCAGGUUUUCAGGUGAGCAUUCAAGAGAUAACGGUGUCUCUAAUAAUGAGGUCAUCUAAUAUUCAAACAUCUGAACUCCAAUCAAGAGAUGAUGGAAGGUCUUCGAGAAAAUAUACCAGAAAAAUCCCAAAUUAA
rnacentral:lncRNA from 1 species